AGGCGCCGCGGAAAGUUAUGCUCUACCAGUCACUUAUUGGUAGAGCUGGCAUGGAACCACGGCCCUCAAAAGGAACAUACGCGAUGCGCGUGUGUAUGGGCACCUAAUCCUGAGGAGCUCCAGGGGAAAAGAAUGGACAGGCCAAAAAGGCAAACAACGAGGACAAAUAAGGCUCUCGGGUCUAACUCCGCAUAAAUUCGCAAUUGAACAGGGAUGUAAAUAUCAAUAUAUUUAAUCAAGGUACACGUGUAUUUAAUUUUUCCUAAAUUUCAGCCGGCCGGCCUUCUCGCCGGAGGCCAGCAGCGAUACGGGUCUCCAAGAAAGAAAACUGGCGCACUACGGUGAGUUGUGCAAGGGCAGUCGGAGGUUCGGCCGCCCGACAAAAUGGCGGUACUUCUCAACGCCGCGAUGCGACGGCUGGAAGUUCCCGAGAUGAGGUGGACGUGGUAGACCGGAACGGACUAACCGGGAAAUGCUUGAUGUCGUCGGCGUCGACUGCGAAGGCGUUUAUGGCUGGUCUUCUAUGCGGGUCGAACGGACACCGGUUGCUGGCAGCCAAGUCGGGGCUGGUACGUAUGGCGAAGUCGCGCAGAUAUCAGUGGAAGUCCCAACACUUCCAGCUGCAUCUGCCUGGUUGGACAAUAUGGCUGCAUUUAUCUGAUAUGCUGCUUAUCUGCUGAUCAUCGAUCCUCCCCCGCCAUAUUUCAUGGCCUCUCUCAAAAUUGGGUCGUUGGAUACAUGGGUCCAUUUAAGGUAAUCCCAGAGCGAA